GAGAGGACCGGAGUGGACGCAUCACUGGUGUUCGGGUUGUCAUGCCAAUGGCACUGCCCGGUAGCUAAAUGCGGAAGAGAUAAGUGCUGAAAGCAUCUAAGCACGAAACUUGCCCCGAGAUGAGUUCUCCCUGACUCCUUGAGAGUCCUGAAGGAACGUUGAAGACGACGACGUUGAUAGGUCGGGUGUGUAAGCGCAGCGAUGCGUUGAGCUAACCGAUACUAAUGAACCGUGAGGCUUAACCUUACAACGCCGAAG
rnacentral:rRNA from 1 species